GCCUACGACCAUAUCACCCUGAAUGCGCCCGAUCUCGUCUGAUCUCGGAAGCUAAGCAUGGUCGAGCCUGGUUAGUACUUGGAUGGGAGACUGCCUAGGAAUACCAGGUGUUGUAGGAU
rnacentral:rRNA from 1 species